CGAACUCGCAGCGGCCGGGGCCAAGCAGGCGGAAGUGCCUGUACUUUGAAAGCAACCUCAGCGCUGCUGCUCCAGCUGGUCUGAGCUGGCUCGGCUCCUUGUUUGAGGGGCUUCAGGUGCUGCGAGGAGAACUCUUCCUUUGGAAAUAAUGCUUUCUGUGGUAACACCAGAGCAUGGAAGAGGCAGCGCUACUAAACAGCUACCAUCGACUAAGGCCACAGAGAGAUGCUCAUCAUCAUUAGCCACUUCCAUUAGGGAAGUGCAAAUCUAGAGCUCAGUCAGAUGCCACUUCUCAUCCCCAGGAUGGCUGUAUUCGGAAAGAUGGAUACCAAGUGUCAGCGAGGACUGGAGACAUUGGAACCCUCGUCCAUUGCCGAAACUGAAGCAGGGAGAUGUUAAAUGACUCCUAGAGGAUCACCCAGUGAGGGACAGAACUAAUGAGGUGCGGAACCAGGACGCCUGACCCCUGAAUCUACACCUCCACAGAACCAGGGACUUUGCAGAUCUCACAUUGGGCAGCGCCUGGGAGCCACAUCCACACCACGCUAUCGGGGAUCCUUCCUUCCAGCAUCAGUUUGGACCUCUCUCUCUCCAUUGACAGAGUAGCUCUGAUUUCCACCCACUGGGAACCAGUGCCCAGAGGCCUGUCAGUCCCACCCGCCAAAGACUCCAGCCCGGCCUCGGUUGGACACCGCCAGGGAGCCGCUAGCCCUGAGUUUCCACCCAAGUGCAGCAGCCCUGGCCCAAGAACUGCACCUUGGGGGCCAAGCAGAGCCCGGAAGAUUAAGAAGGAAGCAGAAGGUCACCUUCCUCUUUCUCUCAUGAAACUGUGAAUAAUAAUGCAUUUACUUAUCCUCCUACUUCAAAAGUUGUUUACAUCCUUUGAAGAAUCUUGCAGGGUAGCUUGGCUAGACAGCAGGCGGGACAGUCCAGCGCCUCCGGGGGAGAGGCCAGGGUCUGCCACUCGCCGGUCUUUUGGUCCAGCAGGUAGGCAUUUGGAUUGAUGGUGUAGUCCUUGGUCUGAACAUUGCUGGCCGUGGUGACGCCUCCACAUACAAACACCUUGUCGUCUCCAAUGGAGCAUAUGGCAUGGGACACAUCCAGGGGACAGUCGUUGGGCAAGAGGGGCACCGAGGUGGUGGUCUUGUUGGCCUUUAUCUUCUGCAGGUUGAUUUCCACGCUCUGCCGGUGGCUGUGCACGCAGAGGAUGUUGUCCUGCUGGAAGGAGAGCAAGGGCCGGUGGUUGAACUCAAUGGGGAAGGUGAUACACUGGACCACCUCCCCGGUGCUGGUGUCGAAGCAGUCGACUACCCCGACCCUGGAGAUGUAGCCUUUCACCAAGCAGCGCCCAGUGACGAUAUACAGGCUCCGGUCACCCUUGGUGAUCACAGCCGUGCCAUCCAUGGGGAUGCUCAUCUUCCCUGCCAGGCACCAGGCCUCCUUGUGCUCGUCGUAGCGAUAGAUGUUAGAGACGUAGCGCCUUGGGGCGAUGCUGCCGCCCACCGAGUACACCUUGCCCCCGCAGGUCGCCAUGGUGUGGAAGA